rnacentral:rRNA from 1 species
AUUGAACGCUGGCGGCAGGCUUAACACAUGCAAGUCGAGCGAGCGGCGGACGGGUGAGUAAUGUCUGGGAAACUGCCCGAUGGAGGGGGAUAACUACUGGAAACGGUAGCUAAUACCGCAUACCAUCGGAUGUGCCCAGAUGGGAUUAGCUAGUAGGUGGGGUAACGGCUCACCUAGGCGACGUUCCCUAGCUGGUCUGAGAGGAUGACCAGCCACACUGGAACUGAGACACGGUCCAGACUCCUACGGUAGGCAGCAGUGGGGAAUAUUGCGCAAUGGGCACAAGUCUGAUGCAGCCAUGCCGCGUGUGUGAAGAAGGCCUUCGGGUUGUAAAGCACUUUCAUCGAGGAGGCGUUACUCGCAGAAGAAGCCCCGGCUAACUCCGUGCCAGCAGCCGCGGUAAUAC